GUGGUGCAACAAUGCUUUUUUUUUUUCUUUAAUUAAAUUUUAUAAGUUGUAGGAACAUCAUUGGAUUAUUUGUAAUGAAUCAUGUUUUGUGAUUAGAUGGUAAAUUUGUCACUUUCAGAUUCAAAUAGGGUGCAUAGAGAACUAUUGCUGGGUUUCCUUUAGGAUUAAAUCUUUUAGUUUGGUAAAUUAUUUUAAUGAUUAUUGAAUUUUAUUGUGUUUAUAAAAUUUUUAGUUUAUCAUAAUUUGAUUAUUAAAUACCUUCAUCUUUAUUUCAAUGGGAACUUCAGAAAAAAAAUAAUAAUAAAUCUGAUGUGAUUUUUAUAGAAGAAGAAAGAGAAAUUGGAGCUUUUUUUUAAUUUUUUUUAAUUAAUAUUUCAUUUUUAAUCUUAUAAUAUUACAAGAUAAGUUAUGAAAUUUACUAGUAUUAAGUGGUAUUUAGUUCAUCUUUUAGGUGUAGCUGAAAGACAUCUAAAUAAAUGAAUUAGGGUGUUUGAUAAAUUUUAAAAAAUAGAACUGAUAACUGAUAAAUAACUGAUAUGAUACCUGUAGUUUGUAGUUUGUAGUUUGUAUCAGC
rnacentral:misc_RNA from 1 species